UACGUAGGGUGCGAGCGUUAAUCGGAAUUACUGGGCGUAAAGCGUGCGCAGGCGGUUGUGUAAGACAGAUGUGAAAUCCCCGGGCUCAACCUGGGAACUGCCUUUGUGACUGCAAGGCUUGAGUGCGGCAGAGGGGGAUGGAAUUCCGCGUGUAGCAGUGAAAUGCGUAGAUAUGCGGAGGAACACCGAUGGCGAAGGCAAUCCCCUGGGCCUGCACUGACGCUCAUGCACGAAAGCGUGGGGAGCAAACAGG
rnacentral:rRNA from 1 species